CUCGCGUCGCUACGAAAACACGACAGUCGUUCGUCAUGCCUUGGAUAUAACAGCAAAUCCUCCACGGCACCCGCUUUAUAUAACUCAAGAAGGCAGCUGCAAGGACACGAGGAUGUGAAAGAGCCAGUGCAGCGCGACUUCACGUAGUGCAGAGGAGCCAAUGCCAAAAAAUCAAAAUACAUUGCCAUGCAAUUUGGACAAGAAAACUAGGACAACCCAGGACGUGCAUUUCUCAGCACCCAGUCAACUGCCAGAAGUGACUCGAACACAGGCCACCAGUGGCACUCGGCUGUACCACUGCAGUGCUGCGGAAAUUGCCAGCACCAGCGGCUUUGCAACAGCAGUUUCACAGCAUGUCGGUAUGUGCU